GGUGGUUGGGCCCAACGAGUUAUUAUUGCUAGUGGGCUGGGUCGUUACAGCCAUCGUAGCCAACAAGGUAGAGUUCUGGCAGUUGCUAAAUGCUUAAAUAAGUGUUGGUAAAUUAGCAGCACUCUUUUUAGGUUAUAGCGACACUCUUUAACUGUCACUAUAUACCUAGCGACCCCAUAUAUAUCAACACUAUUUAAAAAUGUCGGUAAUUUAGCCAGCAUCACUUUUUUUGACCUAUACCGACAUUUAAAAGUGUCGCUAUAGACCGUUUUUGUUGUAGUGAGUUUAAUUAAUAAGAUGAAAGAGUGCAAUAUUCUUUCAAAUAGUGCAACAUGUUCUUCAAAAUAGUACAAUAUCUGUAUAAGUAGUGCAACAUAUGUAUUAUUAAUACACAUUUUGCACUAUUUGGAAGAGCAUGUUGCACUAUUUGAGAUGAUGUUGCACUCUUUCAUCUUAUUAAUUAUAUUUUAUUUUUUUUAUUUUGUCUUGAAUGAGGAUUCUCGUUUCAUGAAAAAGGUUCAUGUAAUUACUGCUUAGCAGUUGUCAUUUUCAAGAAAUUUGAAACUUUAUUUAAUAUGCAAUAAUAUUUAACUUUCAAAAGAAAGAGUAUAACACACAUCUAAAUGGCGCAACAUCCUCUUAUAAUAGUACAAUAUUUAUACAAAUUGUGUGAAUAUCUGUAUAAAUAGUAUAAAAUAUGCACCGUUUAUACAUAUAUUGUAUACUUUUUAUAAGGGAUAAUUGUCUAUAUACCUCUCAUACGUUUAAAAAUAUCCGAUUUACCCCUACUUUUUUUUUUCUUUCUAAACUACCCCUCAUAUGUUCCACCAUUAUUCCAAAAUACCUCCGCAGUUAUCCCCUAUUAAACUAACUCGGGUUAAACUAACUCGCAGUUAUCCCCUAUUAAACUAACUCGCAGUUAUCCCCUAUUAUUCCAAAAUACCUCCUAAAUAAAAUACCUAUUUUACCCCUACCUUAUUAAACUAUUCCCUUAAGUUAUCCUCUCUUUCUCUCCCAACUUGGGUCCCUGCCGCCUGCGGCCGCGAGCGCCAGCAGCUCACCAACACCACCAACCUCAGCGCCGGCUCCUCCGCCUCCACCUCCGGCCCCAAGAAGUCUUGUCUCAUUCGCACAAAAAAAACGGUCGGUGAGUCGCCGCUCUCGUCGUC
rnacentral:lncRNA from 1 species